rnacentral:lncRNA from 1 species
UUCUGAAUACUGUGAAGUGAAAUUUUGGAAUGAAAGAAAGAUUUGAUAUAAAUGAUAUCAGAUGAGAAAUUAAAUUUAUUGUAUAUUGAAUUAUUAGUGGAGGAUUGAAAAGUUGAUAAUAGAAGAUAUUUGUAAAGUAUAGAUAUUGCUGGGAGAAUUAUAAUACAUUGAAUUUUGAGAUUCAAGAAGAAGUAUGUAAAGUCUAGAAUUGUCUGAAGCAGAUUAUUGGGAAUGACAGUUAGUUUGGAGAAUUUUAGUGAUUAGAUUAUGAAAUGUUUUAUGCAGUCUUUUAAGAUAG